CCCCCUAAAAUUCAAGAUAUCUGUGGCACAAAACUUUAGAGGCAGCCGACACCGGAACUAGGAUUGAAUACUGAGUCAAGUAUUAGGAGGUAGCACAAGCGGAACUAGGAGAAUACUCUUCUCCAACUAGAAAUCCACCAUAGAGAUCGGAGUAAAAAGAUAACAAGGAGAACUCUUUCCCCAAAGCCAAAGGCUGAAAUCUAAUUCAAAAUAUCA
rnacentral:lncRNA from 1 species